rnacentral:ncRNA from 2 species
AUGGGAUCUUUUCUCCGAGCCAAAAGGCCUGAGGCCGGCUCUCCGGCUAUGGUCUUUGGCCGCUGGGCAGGACGGGAAACCGCCUUGCCUCCC